AUUGAACGCUGGCGGCAGGCCUAACACAUGCAAGUCGAGCGGAUGAAGGGAGCUUGCUCCUGGAUUCAGCGGCGGACGGGUGAGUAAUUCCUAGGAAUCUGCCUGGUAGUGGGGGAUAACGUCCGUACACGGGCGCUAAUACCGCAUACGUCCUUAGGGAGAAAGUGGUGGAUCUUCGGACCUCACGCUAUCAGAUGAGCCUAGGUCGGAUUAGCUAGUUGGUGGGGUAAAGGCCUACCAAGGCGACGAUCCGUAACUGGUCUGAGAGGAUGAUCAGUCACACUGGAACUGAGACACGGUCCAGACUCCUACGGGAGGCAGCAGUAGGGAAUAUUGGACAAUGGGCGAAAGCCUGAUCCAGCCAUGCCGCGUGUGUGAAGAAGGUCUUCGGAUUGUAAAGCACUUUAAGUAGGGAGGAAGGACAGUAAGUUAAUACCUUGCUGUUUUGACGUUACCAACAGAAUAAGCACCGGCUAACUACGUG
rnacentral:rRNA from 1 species